CAAGUCGAACGGGAUCGGCUGGAGCUUGCUCCGGCCGUGAGAGUGGCGAACGGGUGAGUAAUGCGUGACCGACCUGCCCCGUACACCGGAAUAGCUCCUGGAAACGGGUGGUAAUGCCGGAUGCUCCAGUCCAUCGCAUGGUGGUCUGGGAAAGAUUUUAUCGGUAUGGGAUGGGGUCGCGUCCUAUCAGGUAGUCGGCGGGGUAACGGCCCACCGAGCCUACGACGGGUAGCCGGCCUGAGAGGGCGACCGGCCACAUUGGGACUGAGAUACGGCCCAGACUCC
rnacentral:rRNA from 2 species